CGUUUGGAAAAGGUGAAGGGUAUUGUAAGACUGUCGGAGGCAUUUACAAACGUGGAACUCCGCAGCUUCCAACAGGGUAUAUUAGCAACUUGUAUUUUGUAACCUCCAAAGGACAGAAGACGGAAUCGUACGUUCGAGCCGCUGCAGAUGAGUCGGAUGAGGCUUUCAGUUUCACUGCGGAUGGGGAAACCCAAUUGGUUGGAUUAUUCGGACGGUUCGGGCAGAAAGGAUUAAUCACGAUAGGGGCGUUGUUUGCACCAGAAUGAAGCCAAGAUUAAAGAAGUAAGCAAAGAUGAAGGAAGAAGCUGAUAUAAUUAUAUAAAGAAACAUAUACAGAAAAAUAAACAUGUAUGGAGUUACGUACAUCAAAGUAACAAAAUAUUGUUAGCAAAAAAAAAAGUAAUAAAAUAUCAGUAUUUAUUUUAAGGCAACAGUGUAGAAUUUCAGCAUUAUUUCAACCCGUACGCAAAUAUUUUCUUUAUAUAUUAUAAAUUUCAAUUAUUUUAUAACAUUUUAGGAGUAGUUUACUCAAUCAGAACACUUAACAAAAAUUAUUGCGUCAGCUACUUUUGUCGAAGGUGCUUGAACUAUAAACAAGCUUAAUUAGGUUAUGGACUAAACUAAAGUUUUAAGGGAUAUUUUUAAUUAACUGGAUACACUUCUUUUUUUCUGUUGAACGAACUGGAUACACUUUUUCUGAGUCCUCUUUUGUUGACAUCAUUUAACACCACCGAGUCUCUAAACUACUAUAUAUAACUUGCGUGUUUUUCAAUUCUUUAAAUUUUUGAAAAACAAAACACAUACCAACAAUUAUAUUUAGUUAUAAUUAGGUUAAAUAAAAAUGACUGUUGGUUGGAUUAUUUUAAUUAUUUGAUUGCAUUAAUUUGAAUGGCUGUUUUGAUUCUAAGAAAAUCUAUUAAAACGAGAAUGUAUGGAACAAUUACAGAACAAUUUGAAUAAUUAUAUUAAUUCGAGUAUAGUUAUUAAACGAAUACUUGUGAGGGCAUUACUAAAAUGUAACUAUACUAAGAGGAUCUUUAAAUUUAGUCAUCUAAAUGUCCGAACACGAGUCUACGACAUGAAAUACAAGAAAACAAAACAUCUAUUAACUCACUCACCCUGUCGGUAUAUUUUGUUAAUUAACCAUGGAAUUUAUUUAUGGGCUUAUUUAAUUUGUUUAAUAACCAAAAAAGUGAAAAUUAGUUUUGUAGAGAAAGAGAAUAGAGAGAGAUAGGAAGAGAAAAACAGAGAAAGAAAGAGAGACAGUGUGUGUUUUGGUUACUUAGCAAAUUUGUUUUUUUUUUUUGUGGUUAUAGAGUGUAGUUCUGCUUAUUUAUUAACAAGGGAAAUUGCACCUUAUAUACAUGAAAAAACAUAAAUACACUGAUUAACCAAAAUCUCCCUCUCUCUCCUAUUUUCUCUUCCUAUCUCUCUCUACUCUCUCUCUCAAAAUCUAAAUUUUCUUUUUUUUUUUGGUUAUUUGGCAAAUAAGCCCUAUUAACAAAUGAUCAACAGUUGACCAAAAACAUUAUUUAUAAUCAGCAAAAAUAAAUUUCACCUUAUAAUUUUUUUAUUCAAUCAUGGGUCAGUAAUAGUUAGAUUUUAAAUAAAUGAUAUAAAUAAGUAACUAUGGGCUGGACAUCACAAUUGGUUGCAUUAAACUAAUUUGGGUUACUGUAUUUGGUAGAGUAAUUAACUGUUUACGAAGAUUAGAUGUUUUGAAAAAAUCUUUCACCUUUUAUACUACUAUGAGCAUCAUUAAUAAUAGGUUUUUAUUUUUUGUCAAAAUAAUAGGUUUCUGAAACUGAAUCUCUGAAUAUAAAUUUAAGAAUAUUUAACAUAAGACAAUUUUUUAAUUAAAACUAAAAAUUUGCUGGAUUGACAUUUUGUAUAAUAUAUACUAUUAGUCGGAAUGAAGAAGUUAUCCCACUUUCAAAUCAGGUGCUUCCUCUUUCCACAAGAAUUUUUGUUGAUGGAUGAGUAUUCUUUCGGAAUUUUUCAUCAAUUGGUUGCACUUUUUAAAUCAUUUUUUUAAACUGAUAUUUUUGGAAAGUUUUUAUUUUUUUAAAGAGAACUAUUGUAUAUUUGAGUUUUUUAUUAGAAAUUAGGAGAACAAGAAUUGUUUUUGAUAGAUGAGUAUUCUUUCAGAAUUUUACAUCAAUAAGUUGUAUUUUAAAAAUAUUUUUUUAAACCGUUAUUUUGGAAUAUUUUCAUUUUAUAGAAAACUAUUGUGGUUGGAGUUUGGUUUAGAAAUUAGGAUAACAAUAAAUUUUUUGAUAGAUGAGCAUUCUUUCAGAAUUUUUAAUCAAUAGGUUGCUUUUUUAAAAUAUUUUUUUUAAAAUAAUUUUUUUUUAAAAAUUGCUUUUUUUUUUGAAAGUUUUCAAUUUUUCAGGGAAUCAUUGUAGAUUUAAGGUUGCGAGUUAGAAAUUAGGAUAACAAAAAUUUAACAGAUAAAUGAAUAUUUUUUUAAAGAAUUUUUCAUUAAUAGAUUGCAAUUUUUAAAUAUAUUUUUUUAAACUGUUAUAUUUGGAAAAAAAAUCAUUUUAUUGAGAACAAUCGUAGAUUUGGCAUUCUGAUUUAGAAAUUAAGAUAAAAGAGUUUUUUUUAUAAUAGUUUAUUGUUAUCAUGUAUGUAGUAAUACCCUUCAAGUCUUUAUACACAAACUACCCUAAUUAAUAUAACCAUUCAAAAUAACGCAAUCAAAUAAACGAUUAUGUUUACCUACCAAUGCGAAGAUGAAUGAUGGAUCCGAUCCUUACUCUUUAGUUUUGCGCAGUGGCGGACCCAUUCACACAAAAGAGAUGUCAACUGACACCGUAUAAAUUACAAAAGUUGAUUAUAGUCACUUCAAAAUUUACCAUCACAUGACCCCUGUAAAAUUGGCUUGAUGACCCCGCUAGUUUUUUCGGGAGUCUGUGCUUUUUAUAUCCACAUCUCAGAGUUUACACAAGACAAAGUAUAAAUGAGCAAAAACAAUAAUCUUGCAUUGCUGUCUUUUUGCUUCAAGAAGAGUUGAUUCUUUCAAAGUAUCAGUAGAAUCAAGUGAUCAUAUUUAAUUUGGAUAUAUAGUGCCACAGACUGCAAGUAGAAGGCGGUUGGCCAAUCAGGGAAGACUUCUUGCGCAAUCAUCCCAUCGUAAAGAGCUCGAUCUGGUUGAUUGCAGAAUAAAUAGCAUAGACUACGCCUCGCAUAAACACUUGGGUACACCGUUCUCCUAGAAUCAAUGAACUGAGAAUAACAGUGAAUGGCGGUUUCAAAGUCUUGCUCUAGGAAGGCUUGAUCACCAUGUUUUCGAACCUCUUGAAUAUCUUUUACCUCUUCCAUCCAUUCUUCGAAAGAGUCUGUGCUUUUGUUUUUUCUUCUACGCAGGUUCAUUUACUCUUUUUAUUCGUUCUCCAACCGAUGCUUACUAAAAAUGUAAUUUGUUAUGAUAAAGUUUCCAGUUUUGUACUCUCUUCUUAUAUUUUAUUUAUUAUUUUCCGGUUAAAGCUCUUUAUUGCUGCUUUAAAUCUUUCAACCACCGUUCCACAAAGAUGAGUAGAUUUCAUAUCACAAAAACUAGAUUUCGUGUGGCAUAAGAUAUGGUCCGUUAGAAAUGUCGCUAUAUAUAAGUCCGUUUCCGCCUAAGAUUUACUCAGUAUCACACAACAAAUUUAUCCCUCUCUCUCUUUAAUUGUUAUAUCUCUAUCUCUCUGUGUGAAAGAACACAAUGGCACAACAAAGGAUGGGUCCUUCUGGAUUUCAACUCGCUGGAGACAACAGUUUCGACGACGGUGCACUAGACUUCGACGGCGUAAAGAAUGUGUCCAUUGGGGUUCGUGAAAAACAAAUCGUUUAUAUAAGCUUAACGUACUCAAGGGGCGAAAAUAAGGAGACGAUCACCCACGGAGAACAACCUAACGAGAACAUGGAGGUUCUGUCUCUACACACCCUUUUUCAUCUCUUUUACAUACGCAUGCAGUCGAUCGAUAUUGCCAAUUACUUUAAAUGCAUUUAAUUUAUGUAUGCAGAUCACGUUUGGAAAAGGUGAAGGGUAUUGUAAGACUGUCGGAGGCAUUUACAAACGUGGAACUCCGCAGCUUCCAACAGGGUAUAUUAGCAACUUGUAUUUUGUAACCUCCAAAGGACAGAAGACGGAAUCGUACGUUCGAGCCGCUGCAGAUGAGUCGGAUGAGGCUUUCAGUUUCACUGCGGAUGGGGAAACCCAAUUGGUUGGAUUAUUCGGACGGUUCGGGCAGAAAGGAUUAAUCACGAUAGGGGCG
rnacentral:lncRNA from 1 species